AUUGAACGCUGGCGGCAUGCCUUACACAUGCAAGUCGAACGGUAACGGGCCUUCGGGUGCCGACGAGUGGCGAACGGGUGAGUAAUGCAUCGGAACGUACCUUUCAGUGGGGGAUAACGUAGCGAAAGUUACGCUAAUACCGCAUAUUCUGUGCGCAGGAAAGCAGGGGAUCGCAAGACCUUGCGCUGAUUGAGCGGCCGAUGUCAGAUUAGCUAGUUGGUGAGGUAAAGGCUCACCAAGGCGACGAUCUGUAGCGGGUCUGAGAGGAUGAUCCGCCACACUGGAACUGAGACACGGUCCAGACUCCUACGGGAGGCAGCAGUGGGGAAUUUUGGACAAUGGGGGCAACCCUGAUCCAGCCAUGCCGCGUGAGUGAAGAAGGCCUCGGGUUGUAAAGCUCUUUCGGUACAGAAAGAAAUACGCACGGGUGAAUAAUUACGUGUGGAUGACGGUACUGUAAGAAGAAGCACCGGCUAACUACGUGCCAGCAGCCGCGGUAAU
rnacentral:rRNA from 1 species